GCCGGAGUGGCGGAAUUGGCAGACGCGCUAGACUCAAAAUCUUGUGUCCGUAAGGGCGUGUGGGUUCGAGUCCCACCUCCGGUACCA
rnacentral:tRNA from 1 species